UAGCCAGCAAGGACUGGUGUAGGUUAAUCUGUCAUGUGUGAAGUGGUCUUGCUGCUUGAGGCAGCAUGCAUUGCUCAAACCUCCAUCCAAACACAAACUGAGGUGAACUAAGGAGGGAGUGCUCCAUGGUAGGAAGUGAACAAGUGGACAACUUAGGAGUGGAAUGUGGCCAUUCAGCCCUUUGAGCCUGUUCCUAUUCAGUAAGUCUGGCAACGUCAGCUCUGCAUUCCUGUGAACCUGUAUUAGACCCUGCACUUGUUUUCCUGUGAAUCCUGCUCAUAUGAUGCUAUUUGCCUGUGAUGCUACUGCAAUUUAUCAUCUGCUGGUGAUACAAUCAACCAAGGCCUGGGCUGCUUUUACGACUGGUCACAGAAUGCCAGGGUAGGUAUCUUUCCUCAUUUCCCUGGGUGGAAUUUGCCAUUCCCCGUAUAUCUGCUGAACUGUUUACCUCAGUACUGUUUGUGGGAUCUUACUGUGCAUAAGUAGGUUAUUACCUCACAACAAGAACCGUCCUUAAGACAUGUGCUUUGAAGCACUAUAGUUGUAGAAAUAUAGUUGUAUAUCUCUGGUUGUAGAAAGAGAAAAAUAAUGCUAAGGUUUGUUUUAGUUUUGUAUCAUAUUUCAUGGAUGCAAACUCUGCUUUGGGAGAGCAGAAUUAAUGAGGAACCACCCCAUUCCAUCACACCCAGCUUGAAGCAAUCCACAGAGAGACAGGCAGCCUUGGACUGAUUCCCUUCCCCUUCUCCAAAGGGAGCUCAAAUAUGUUGUUCCGUCCCUCCUCUCCACCCUGCAGCCCCAAUCGCAUCCUCUGUUAUGAGAUCAGUUCUGACUCAGCUGAGUGGAACGUGAACCCUUGCCAGUCUGUAUGGGUGGUGGAUGUACACAGCAAACAAUCUGAGGGACAGGAGUGUUAUUAAUGAGCUGCUCCUGAGCCUGAUUGCCAGGGUAUUGGCAGAACCAUUCCAGUCAACCAUCUGGAGAGCAUAAGGAAGAGGAAAGAGAUCAUGUCCAUUGGAAUCGUAUCUGGAAGCAAUUGCCUUUCUGUGUCUCUCACAUUCUUUAUUCCAAAUUAAACCCAGCUUUGCUUCAUUCACGCAUAACAACCAUCAUAAAUGAGCCACAUACCAAGGGAUGACCAGGCCAAAGAGAGUUACUUUUUUCACAUCAGACACAUGUAAUGGUCUUAUAAGAAAAUGCAAUGGGGUCUGCCAUGUGGCCUUUUGAUCUCAUUCCACCAUUCAUCAAGAUCAUGACAAAUGUACCUUGGCACCGUGCUCCUGCUCUUUCCCCAAGUCCCUUGAUUCCCUUAAUGUCCAGAAAUCUACUGAUUUCUGUUUUGAAUACUCUCACUGACUGAGCUUCCACAGUCAAAUGAAGAAAUUUCAAAGUUUCACCAUCGUCUGCCCCGUGAAGCCUGCAUUUCACUGAGAUGCCUUCUCAGUCUUCCAGACUCUAGUGAGUGCUAUCUUUCCUCAAGUGACAAACCCACUAGCCCUGAACCUGGCUAGUGAAUCUGUGCUGUACUCUCUCUUUGGCAAGUACAUCUUUUUUACAUAAAGAGACAACAGCAUUGCCUAGUACUCCAAAUGCAGUCUCGACGAAGCUUUACGCAACUGCAAUAAGACUUCUUUGCUUUCUUACUCAAAGCCUCUGACAAUAAGUACUACUUGUCACUUACUGGCUUUGAGUGACUGGCGUACAAAAACACUUAAGUCUCUUUGAGCAUCAACAUUACCCAAUCUCUCACCAUUUAAAAAAAUACUCUUUUUAUGCUUUGUACAUUGAAGUAUAUAACUUCACAUUUUCCACAUUAUAUUCCAUCUGCCAUGUUGUCACUCAGCUUCUUCACCCCCUCUUAAGGCCUCUUUAUGUGGAUCGUUGAAUGGCUACAGCUCAGAAGGCAGCUCUUCGUCACACCCUCUUCCUUACUCAUGACCCCAUAUAGUUUCCUGCCAUUAUGAAGCCCCACUUCCUAAAGUGAACAUGAACCUUAAGUAUGCCAGAUCCAUUGGAUAAUGUAACCAGGAUUUAUAAAGAAGACACCAGAGAGCCUGCAGAUGCUGGAAUGUGGAGAGGGAUCAACAGCUGGAAGAGCUCUGCAGGCUGAGCAGCACUUACAGAUGCAGAGACACUUGAGAUUUUGGGUCAAGAACGUGCAAUUUUUUGCAGGAUUUAUAAUCACCCUCUUCUCUAAGGUGGAAUGUCCUGGGAUCAAAACUGACUUGAACAGGAAGUCUAGGUUAAUAUUCCAUUGUGCUAAUGAGGGAGUGGUGCACCAUUCAGAUGCUCCAUAUUUCACUUGAACAAUGGAAUUAUCUCGGGCAAAUGUGCAUGAGUUACCUCUGGUGUUACAGCCUAUAUAUAUAUUCCCCACUGAAGAUUGAUAAUCCCAUUGCUGUGUGUGUGUGUGUGGUGGAGUUUGUUGUGCAGAAGUAAGCUUUCAUGUUUCCUUAUACUACAAAAAAUGUAAACCAAAAGUAACUGUUGGCUAUUAAAUCUGCUAGAAUGGUCUUAGGAAUGGAUUUCACUGAAUCGUUUGGCCAUUACCCUCUCUGUAGUCUUGUGUGCAUUUCAAAGCUAUUUAGUAGCUAGGUAAUAAUCACCAGUUUUGAAAGAAAUGAUUACAGCCUCGCCCCAGGUUACAAGUGUCCGACUUAAGUACAGCCCAUGCAGGAACAGUAUGCAAGACACUGUACCUUGGUACAUGAGGCAAUAAUAAUUUCAAUCCCAAUUCCAAUUCUACAAGAGUUUGGAAGGCCGGAAGGAGGGAUUUGCCAGCUGUUGUGGAGCUGCAGGCAUCUUCUGCUGUCUGAGAAAUCAGCCGCUGGCCGCAAUUCUGACUCAUGAACAGUUUGGGUUACAAACAGAACUUUGAGUAGCCUUGGGAAGACAUGGACCUGGUUAGAAGACCUUGCAUAGAUGUCUGUGCUGCCCAUUGUCUCACUCCCUUAUACAAAGCUUUGUUGCCUGGUACUACCGGAGCGAGGGUGCCUGAAGACCACAGCUUUGCCAUAAAGAGGAUUCCAAAUGCUUCUUCCCUUUCCCUCUCCCCCCACCCUCCCCAGCUUGUGUCGGCAAUUACAUGGAUAACAGCAGGGAAAACUGAUUAUCAGGGAGACCCAGGUGCACACUCACUAGACGUCUAGGAAUGUGUAGCAAUCUAUCUGGAAAUGAUGUUCUGUGCAGACAUCUGUGUGUUUGACCACAAAUACAGCAGUGAAAGGGAGAAAGUACAUUCCUGACUACAGGGUAUAUAUUAAGAGUGUGACUGGCAAACACGUGUGAGCUCUCUGCAGUGACCUUUCCCUGGUUAAACUUCUGAAGAUAUUCCAGUGAUCUUUCUAUGAUGGGGAGUCUGUUAAUAGCUCUGCCACAUGAGGCUGUCUUAAGGCAAAUAUUAUGAUCAAUGCUGUGGGCUUUGACUGUUCUUCACCUCCCUGAAACUCAGAGUCUGCAAGCGAAUAUCUUUGGUUCAUGUCCUGACACCGCAUUCCUUUGCAGGUAAAUCACAAGAAAUAAUCCACUCCACAAGCACUCCCAGUCCAGAAUGGGUUAACAACAGGGCCCAUGUUUUUUCCAUUCUUUAACCUGAGUGCCUAAUUCUCACUGGAACCCCGGCAGAGCCCUGUUUGCCUGCAUGAAGCAUUGCAGUUCCAUUUAAUGCUGCUUGUGAUGUUUUUGGAUCUUCAGUUCACAUUUUCCGUUAGUAUUUCUGCAACCGCUGGAUCCUCUCGUGGUUGCAAAUGAUGCAAAAUAAAAGGUACAACAAGAAGUACAAGCUGUGUGCUUUAGAAUAAUGCGGCGGUACAGCAGGUAGUGUUGCUGCCUCACACCUCCAGUGACCCAGGUUCUGUCCUGGCCUCUAGAACUGUCCAUGUGGAGUUUGCACGUCCUCCCUGCGAUCACACGGAUUUCCCGCGGGUGUUCCCACUUCCUCCUAAAAUUGGCCACUGCGAAUGAUGCCUUAGCCCAAAUAGGUGAUGAAAGAGUCAUUAGAGAUUUGGUGAGCCUAAGAGGGAGAGAGAAUAAGCAGCAGAUGAAUGGAAAAAGAAGAAGGGUGAACUGAAACUGGUGGGGUUGCUCAUUCAGACCUAACAAUCUAACCAGCUGUGUUGCAGUCAGGGUCCAUAGUCUUGCAUUCUGAAGACACGUAAGUUUCCCACUCUGAGCUUUGUCUGCAGGCUCUCAUUGUCUGUCCUACACCCUGCCUGAGGGCUGCCUCCUCCAGUAAAGGCACUACUGUUAAACACUGCCUUCUGCUGAAAGAGGAAUAGGCAGGUUCUCUUCCAUCCAAAGAAAUAAAUGAAAGCGGACUAGAAGGGUCUCAACUCAAAAAAUAAACUGUCCAUUUCCCUCCACAGAUGCUGCCUGACCUGCUGAGUUCCUCCAAUUCCUUUGUGUGUUGCUCCAGAAGUCUGGAAUCUUGUGUUUCAAAUUAAUUAAAUCUUAUUUCUCUUCCUUCAUGGAUCUGUUGACAAUCUAUCAUCAAUCUAGGUGAGAAGCAUUAUGUCCGGUGAAAAAUUCCAGAGGUCUUAUAUUGUUCCUGACAUAUGCACCAGAGAUAUUUCCACUCUUUUCCAAUCAAAAUUGCUUUUUUGUAUCAUGGGACAUUUCUGCCCAACACUGAAUAUUAAUUCACAACGUGACCGACCACAGCCAUUCAGACGUACAGGUGCUGACAGCAAAGCAGCCUCACACUCCACAGGACCCAACUUCUUAACCCGGCAUUGAACACAGUCCACACUCCAACGAUGGAAACACAAGAAAACCCAGGUGCUGGAAGCUAAAUAACAACCUGCUCCAGGAACUCAGUGGGUCAAGCAGCAUCUGUGGAGGUAGGAGAAUUGUCGACAUCUUGGGUUGGCACCUGUGUCAGGAACUAAAGGCGAGCUAUUCGGUUAUUUGGCUGCUCUAAGCAGGUGGGGUGAAGAUAAAAGGGGAGUAGAUGGACUGUGAUUUCUAGAGUAUAUGGAGCCAGGUAAGCCAAAUGGCCUCAGCACGUGACACAAAAGUAGCAGCACAGUUUCAAGUCAGUCAGACCCAGUUAUGUAUGGCAUCCUCGUGGGAUGUUUCUCAACCAGUUUGAUACAGACUUGCUUGCUUCCCUUUCUUUUCCAUAUAUUUUCAAUGCAUUAAUUAAACAGUUUUGACUGCAUUUUUUAUUGGGGAAGUAAAUCACAGUUUUGCCUGGAGACACUGUUGAGGUCCAUUGAUGGUGGGAUGAGGUGAAAGGAUGGGUGGUGCAAGGCAAAGUGCUCUAUAAAGUGGUGCAAAUGGAAGAGGAGAUCAGAAAGUCAUGUGGGCAACAGUCCUUGAGGAAUGCUGAGACAGGAUGAUGUGGAGUCACUCUGAAUGUGGUGGGAAUUACGGAGAAUGAUCUGUUGAGUGUAUAGUUGGAAGUUAAUGAUCCAUCCCAGAGGAAAAAGGAGUAGAGCAGAGGCACAGAAAGUGGAUGAAAUGUGGUUAAGUGCUUGAGAGGGAACCAAGGUUCAUGAAGAAGGAAGACAUCCCAAAGGCACCUGUGUGGAUAGUCUUACAAUCAGAACAAACACGAUGGAGAUGGAGCAAUUGGGGGAAUGGCAAAGAGUCCUUACUAAGGCAGACUGGGACAAAGAAUGAUCAGAGUAGCCUUGGAGUCGGUGGGGUUACAAUAGAUGUUAGCAGCUAGCCUAUCUCCUGAGAUGGAGACAAAAAUAUCCACAAAAGGAUUGGAAGAGUUGGAGAUCGAAAGCAUGAAGUUGAGAGCAGAUUGGAAAUAGCCAGCAAUUAAUAAAAUUGUUGAGUUCGGCAGGAAACAGCGCCAAUCCAGUAAUUAAUUUCCGGUAUAGUUAUAGACUUGGCCAGCUCCAUCACAGACACAGCUCUCCCCACUAUCAAGGGCAUCUUUAAGAUACAGGUCUUCGAGAAUAUGGCAUCGGCCACUAAGGAUCCUUACCCUCCAGGACGGCUCCUUCCCCUCUAUCACCAGGAUUUCUAAAUGGUCCAGGAACCCAUGAACACUACAGUUUUUGCACUGUGCAUUUACUGUAUUUUGUAAUUUAUAGAUUUUUAGUUUUGCACUGGGCUGCUGUCACAAAACAACAAACUUCAUAUCAUAUGCCAGUGUUUCUGAUUCUGAUCUGGGCAAAGAGAAUGGAGUUCAAGAAGGGAUUGUUCAAUGUGAGAGGAAGUUCAGGCACGGUGGAAGGGAAUUAGUCAAGGAAGAAAGGAGAGCCUUCAGACCACCCUGAUGUGGGAUGGAGAUGCAAAGAGAAUGUACAUCGAUGGUGCAUCAUUGUUUGGCUUUUUGUCCCUCUCCUUUCUCUCUUUUUUCUGUUAUUUUCACCUGGGAGUGGAGGACGAGCCCAGCCUGACCAGCCAGGUACAUUUUCCUGCUCUGCAUUUUGCAACACCCACAUUCUUUUGUCUACAUUCUUUUUCGCUCUAACUGCUCCAACUCACUCACUGACCUUGUUUACAUCUUAACCCCAUGAUCACCCCUGUUUUACUCUGUCAGUGACAACCCUCCUCUCCCACCCUCAUAAUUUCUGUCUCUUUCGCUGCUCUCACAGAGGGGAUUUGACCCGAAAUAUUGACUGUUUUCUUUUCCUGCAGAUGUAGCCUGACCUGUUGACUAUCUCAAACAUUUUCUAUUUUUAUUUUGGAUUUCCAACAUCCAAAAUAAUUAUUUUUAUUUUUUUCACUAUUCUUAUCUACAUUAGAUGUAUUAUUGACCCUGUGCAAAGUCAAAUCUUAGACAGAGACAUCAAGCCUCCAUCAAAUUAUAUUACAAGUUUAACUGUGCCACACCCAACCCCAUAACUUUCAGGUCAAUAUCCCAUUUUAAAUAAGAACAAACUUGCCAAUUGCCCUUAAGACAUGGUUUCCCUGAGAACUAGAACUUUACGUGUUGUUCUUUGGAUUUGCCAUUAAUUCCCACCAUAUCCUUCCCAUUCAUUAAUUUCUGUCCUGAUUUCUCUACUCAGAGUCAUAGGGAGAAUGCAGAAAUAGACCCUUCAGCCCAUUAAGAGGGCUAGAAUAUAACAGCAAAGACGUAAUACUGAGGCUUUAGAAAACAUUGGUCUGACCACACCUGUAAUGUUAUGAGCACUUUUGGGUCCCUCAUCUAAGAAAGGAUAUACUGGCAUUAGAGAUGGUCCAGAGGAGGUUCAUGAGAAUUAUCCUGGGAAUGAAAGGGUUAACGUAUGAGAUGCGUUUGAUAGCUUUGGGCCUGUAAUUGCUGGAGUUUAGAAAAAUGAGAGGCAUCUUAUUGAAACCUAGCGGAUAUUGAAUGGUCUAGGAGUUGACAUGGAGAGGAUGUUUCCUACAGUGAGGGAGUCUAGGACCAGAGGGCACAGCCUCAGAAUGGAAGGACAGAUGAGGAGGAAUUUCUUUUGCCAGACUGGUGAAAUUGUGGAAUAUUUUGCCACAGACAGCUGUGGAGGUUGGUAGGUUCUUGAUUUGUCAGGGCAUCAAAGGUUAUCGGGGAGAAGGCAGGAGAAUGGGGUUGAGAGAGAUAAUAAAUCAGCCAUGAUUGAAUAGCGGAGCAGACUCGAUGGGCCAAAUGGCCUGAUUGCGCUCCUAUGUGCAGUUUCUUUUGUACUGUACUAACCAUUUUGUACUGCACUUCAGAAGUUGCUGCAAUGACUCAGAAUUCACUCUCUCCUAUUGAAUUCUAUUCUCUCAGAGCUUGGGAAAGGAAGGCAAACAUACCAAGUCUUCUUAUCUAUUUCCACUGCCUUCUGAAAGCUCCAGUUGAAUUUAUGCGACUGGUGGCUUACCUACUGUCAUAAGCCUGAGUGAUCUGGUUACCAUCCUCUUGCUGCAAGAAAUAGUUUAGAUUUGUAGAGUCAUAGAACACUACAGCACAGAAACAGUCCCUUUGACUCAUCUAGUCUGUGCCAAGUUAUUACUCUGCCUAGUCCCACCAACCUGCACCCAGACCAAAGCCCUCCAUACCCCUCCCAUCCCUGUACUUAGCCAAUUUUUUCUUGGACGUUGAAAUCAAGCCAACAUCCGUCACUUCUGCUGGCAGCUCAUUCUACACUCACACCACCUUUUGAGUGAACCAAUUCCCCCUCAUGUUUCCCUUAAACAUUACACCUUCUACCCUUAACCUAUGACCUCUAGUUCUAGGCUCACCCAAUCUAAGUGGAAAAACACUUGAAUGCAUUUACACACUAAAUGCUGGUGGAAUGCAGUCAGGAUGAAGGGUCUUGGCCCAAAACGUCGACAGUGCUUCUCCCUAUAGAUGCUGCAUGGCCUGCUGCGUUCCACCAGCAUUUUGUGUGUGUUGCUUGAAUUUCCAGAACCUGCAGAUUUACCCUGUCUUCUGUAUACCCCUCAUAAUUUUAUAUACCUCUGUCAAAUCUCCCUUCAUUCUCCUAUGCUCCACGGAAUACAGUCAUAAUCUAUUCAACCUUUUCCCUAUAACUCAGGUCCUAAAGUCCUAGCAAUGUCCUUGUAAAUUUUUUCUGUACUCUUUCAACCUUAUUUGCAUCUUUCCUCUAGGUAGGUGACCAAAACUGCACACAAUACUCCAAAUUAGGCCUCACCCUUAUACAACUUCAACAUAACAUCAAAUCUCCUGUACUCAAGACUUUGAUUUAUGAAGGUCAAUGAGCCAGAGGCUCUCAUUAUGGCCCUAUCUACCAGUUUCUUCUGAUCUGUGUUGUCAAAUACCACCCCCACUCUGCCCAGCCCCCAUUUUCAAAAUCUCCAAUGUCAGUCUCUCCAGAAAGUUGAACCUCAUCAUCCCUGGUCCCAUUCUGUUUUGUCUCCUCUACACCCGCCCUAACGGAGCAUUGGGCAGAAUAGCCCAGCUGAAGCUUGACCAGACACUUAGUCCAGUUUCAUUCUACUGAUAUGAUUCCGAUCAGAAACAAGCAGGGAUGUUGUAAACUUCACCGAGCCAGUGAUGAUGUAGUUCGGAUGGUAGUCUCCUGGGACUUCUCUACUGCAUUAAAAUUAGAAACAGAAGACUGUGGAUUGUCUGUCAAUUACAUUGACAGUGCACAACUGAGAAAGUGGAGAAGCCAAACAUGAAAGAGAUCAUACUGAUGCAUUUAAUCAGCAUAAAAUCCAAAGUGACAGCUUUAUGAAAGCCAGGUCAUGCAAAGAUUUUUCUAAACUCUUUGAGGUCACAGCACACUUGGGAAGUUUUCUGGAACUUGUCUUAGAUCAAAUCGUUGCCAAGGUUUCUGUUCUGAGGUAUGUCUGAAAUGAACCUCUCAUGGGCUCCAAAAUGAAAUUAUAAAUUGGAUUAAUUGGCAAAAUGGGAAACAGAGGGAAAGUGAUGGCUCUAAUUGGUAAAUGAUGGGCAGCAAAAUGCUAGGAAUCAUUAUGGCAUUUAAUGGGAAGAUGUGUUGGAACUAUUUAUGUUCAAAACUUGAGCCGACUGGGGUGUGAAGUAUUGAACCACAUGAGGAUAUGAUAAAUUGUUUUAGUUUGGAAUGCUUUGUCUGAAUGAGGCUGGAUGAAGAUCCAGCAAAAAUACUCGAAGCAUUAGGCACACCUGAAAAUGGAGAGGAUCAGAAAUAAUUAAAAAGUCUUUCAAAUGAACA